rnacentral:rRNA from 1 species
ACUCAAAUGAAUAGACGGGGGCCCGCACAAGCGGAGGAACAUGUGGUUUAAUUCGAUGAUACGCGAGGAACCUUACCCGGGCUUGAAAUGCAGUGGAAUAAUCUGGAAACAGGUUAGUCAGCAAUGACCACUGUGUAGGUGCUGCAUGGUUGUCGUCAGCUCGUGCCGUGAGGUGUCGGCUUAAGUGCCAUAACGAGCGCAACCCUUACCGUUAGUUACCAUCGGGUUAUGCCGGGGACUCUAUCGGGACUGCCACCGUAAGGUGAGAGGAAGGUGGGGAUGACGUCAAAUCAGCACGGCCCUUACGUCCGGGGCGACACACGUGUUACAAUGGGGGGUACAGAGGGUUGCUACCUGGUAACAGGAUGCUAAUCUCAUAAAUCCUCUCUCAGUUCGGAUCGGAGUCUGCAACUCGACUUCGUGAAGCUGGAUUCGCUAGUAAUCGCGCAUCAGCCAUGGCGCGGUGAAUACGUUCCCGGGCCUUGCACACACCGCCCGU